rfam:Pantoea gaviniae strain LMG 25382 Contig0111_, whole genome shotgun sequence.
GGUAUUCCUUAUCUGUGUCUAAUACGUUGAAUUGUCUGGAGCCUGUCUCCCUGCAUUCUGCUUCGUUCCAAAAUGCAAGGAGACAGGCCCGUCGUUAGUUGCCGCGUAUUCCCUUAUC